rnacentral:lncRNA from 1 species
CUCCCCGAUAGAACAGUAGAUCAUCCUUACCAAGGUUAGAAGGAGACUACGGUUGCAGUCUUCUCUAUUUAUCACUCACAUCGAGAGACAUUCUUUGUUGCCUAAGGGUUAGUAGUAAUAGACCGGUUAGUCAGAUGCACUCUUUCUUCUAGUGGUAAAAAAAUAAAUACGAUACUCUGGAUAAUUUCCCGGGUGAAGUGCUCACCGAUAUCCGUGCGCUUGCGGAUCAAUUCCUUAUUGCGUUCCCAAAUAUCAACAAGCAUUUCUGGCGCCGUUGCCGGGGAGAAAGACGGUUGCUGAGAUAACCUUGUGUCUUACUACUAGCUUGUAUCUAUACUUUUAUCUUUUCUUAUCUUUUAUAUUCUUUAUUUAUUUUCUUUACUCUUACCUUAUGGAAAACCAAAAUUCUAAAUCGAUCCAUGAGUCUGCAAUCCCUUCAGUGACUGACCUUUUAUCAUGGGAAUCAUCACAGCCUAUUCAAACAUCCCAGUAUAAGUUAAGUUCUAGGUUGAUUGCCAUGAUUCAAAACCUAUCUUUUUCGGGAAAGGAAGACGAAAACCCUUACAUUCAUAUUAGAGAUUUUGAGCAAACAUGUGACUGUCUUCGUAUUGAAGGCAUUUCUGAUAAAACUUUACGUUGGAAGCUUUUUCCUUUUUCCUUAAGUGGAGAAGCUAGACAAUGGUACAGUCAGAAGGUAAGUCAACAACAAGGUGAAUGAGGAGUUUUACGAGCCAACUUUUAUCUAGAUUUCUAUUCCCUUGACCAUAUAGCCAACCUUAGACUCGAAGUCCUAUCUUUUAAACAAAAAGAUAAUGAAACUUUGGGAAAAUCCUGGAAACGUUUUUCUGAUCUUUUAGAAUCUGGUCCAAACCUUAAUCUUGAAGACCCUGUUCUUUUAUUUCACUUUUUUCGAGGUCUUCAUAAAAAUCACAAACAAAUGCUACACACAAUGUCUAGAGGUUCUUUCUUUCGCAUCCCUACUAAUGAAGCUAGAGUGAUCCUAGAUAGAAUCCUAGAAGCUGAGAUAAUACCCUUCAUGAUGAAACCUACGAAGUCGAAGUAGACACUCUGCCAAAUAAUUCAUCUACUUUAGCUAUCCCAAGUUUUGAGCCACAAGAGGAAGAAAUUCCACCACUGGACUUCAUGUUGGAUAUAGAAUCCGAUCUUUUUGCCGAUUUUGGAAAUAUUUCAAACUACCAUUCUAUUGAUAAACCCCAAAAUGGCCAGUUUAGCAUUUAUUUGCCAAGUGAAUAUCAAUUGAGAGAGCUUAUCUCAGUAAUGAGUAGCGAAUGGUUGGAGGAAUCAGAGCUUUCCUCUGAUGUGAUCCGUUUGGACACACCCUCUAUAACUAUACGUUGUGCUUAUAAUUCUGAUCGAUUUAAUGCUCUUUAUAAUCCUGUUGUGGGGAUCAACAUCAUGUCUGAAUCUUUUGCACUUAAACUAUUUAAAAAUCUUGUCUUAACCCCCACAACAAAGGUCAUAAAGGAAUCUUCGGGACGAUUAGUCCCCAGUCUUGGAAUUAUUAAUGUCUUACCUCUUACGGUAGAAGGCUCCAUGGUUCAUUUGAACUUCUAUAUCUUUGAUACAUGGGACUUUGACCUGUUGAUAUGACAACGUUUUAGAAGACUCCUUUAUGAAGGUCAUACUAGAAAGCUACACAUUUCUUUUGGAAAAACCUUUAAAUUCCCAAUAACAAUUUCACACUCCUUAAACAAUAAGGCCGAAUCAUAUCUUUUGCCUGAUCCUAUGGAGGAGGUAAAGGCUGCAUCUCUAGAGCUUUUAGAAGAAUCAGACUUAGAAGACGAAACUCCUUUCUUCAUAGAAGAAGAAGCCGAACCUUCUGACCCUUAACCCUUAGAUGAGUUUGCAUGAAACACCUAGACCCCCCAUAGAGCUUAAAACUUUACCACCCGGUCUUACAUAUGCUUUCCUAAACAAUAAUCCAGAGUUCCCUGUAAUCAAUAGCGAUAAACUCACUCAGGAUCAAACUCUGCGAUUAAUGACCAUUCUUGAAAAACAUCACUCAGUGUUCGGCUACUCACUCCAAGAUCUUACAGGAAUCAGUCCUAUGAUUUGUACCCAUCGUAUUCCAACAGAUCCUUCUGUUUCACCUUCUCGAGAACCCCAACGUAGACUUAACAACACUAUGAGAGAGGUAGUUAAAAAGGAAGUUAUAAAGCUGCUGCAUGCAGGGAUUAUAUAUCCUGUGCCACACAGUGAGUGGGUGAGCCCAGUUCAAGUUGUGCCUAAAAAGGGAGGCAUGACUGUUAUUAUGAAUGAAAAGAACGAGCUAAUUCCGCAACGCACCGUCACAGGAUGGCGGAUGUGCAUAUACUAUAGAAAACUAAACAAAGCCACAAGAAAGGAUCACUUUCCUUUACCUUUCAUAGAUGAGAUGCUAGAGCGGUUAGCGAACCAUUCGUUCUUCUGUUUCUUAGAUGGAUAUUCAGGGUAUCAUUAGAUCCCGAUCCAUCCCGAUGAUCAAAGCAAAACCACUUUUACAUGCCCAUAUGGAACUUAUGCUUAUCGUAGAAUGUCUUUAGGGUUAUGUAAUGCACCAGCUUCUUUUCAAAGAUGCAUGAUGUCUAUAUUUUCUGAUAUGAUUGAAGAGAUUAUGGAAGUUUUCAUGGAUGAUUUCUCUGUUUAUGGAAAAACUUUUGAUAGUUGUCUUGAAAACUUAGACAAGGUUUUGCAAAGAUGUGAAGAAAAGCACUUAGUCCUUAAUUGGGAGAAAUGUCAUUUUAUGGUUAGGGAAGGAAUAGUGCUGGGACACUUAGUGUCUGAAAGAGGUAUUGAGGUAGACAAAGCUAAAAUUGAAGUAAUUGAACAACUACCUCCACCUGUGAAUAUAAAAGGAAUUCGAAGCUUUCUUGGCCAUGCUGGUUUUUAUCGUAGAUUCAUAAAAGAUUUUUCAUUUAUUGAUAGAGCACUUACUCUUUUGCUAGCCAAGGAUGCUCCUUUCGAAUUUGAUGAUGCAUGUCUAACAUCUUUCAAUUUAUUAAAGAAAGCACUCAUCUCUGCACCAAUCAUUCAACCCCCUGAUUGGUCGUUGUCUUUUGAAAUUAUGUGUGAUGCCAGUGAUUAUGCUGUGGGGGCAGUUUUAGGACAAACUAAAAAUAAGAAGCAUCAUGCAAUUGCUUAUGCCAGUAAAACUUUGACAGGAGCUCAACUUAACUAUGCAACCACUGAAAAAGAGCUUCUGGCUGUUGUCUUUGCCAUUGAUAAAUUUAGAUCUUAUUUAGUUGGAGCUAAAAUAAUUGUUUACACUGAUCAUGCUGCACUAAAAUAUUUGCUCACUAAAAAAGAUGCUAAACCUCGCCUGAUUAGAUGGAUCUUAUUACUUCAAGAAUUUGACUUAGAAAUAAAAGAUAAAAAAGGAGUAGAAAAUUCUGUUGCUGAUCACUUGUCUAGAAUGUAUUUUAAGAGUCCACAGGAAACCCCCAUCAAUGAUUCACUCUGGGACGACAUGCUCUACGGGAUUAACAGGUCUGACCCCUAGUAUGCAGAUAUUGUUAAUUUUAUGGUUUCAGGGUAUGUACCACCAGGAGCAAACAAGAAGAAGCUUAUUCAAGAAAGUCGUUCACAUAUAUGGGAUGAGCCAUACCUCUUCCGAGUAUGCUCUGAUGGCUUACUCAGGAGAUGUGUGACCACUGAGGAAGGAUGGAAGAUCAUCGAUAGAUGUCAUUCAUCACCAUAUGGAGGUCACUAUGGAGCAUUCCGUACACAUUCAAAGAUCUGGCAGUGUGGAUUCUACUGGCCUACAAUGUAUGAAGACACGAAGCAAUAUAUUAGAAGAUGUGGGCCAUGUCAAAGGCACGGGAACAUAAAUACAAGGGAUGCAAUGCCACUCACCAACAACCUUCAGAUUGAGCUCUUUGAUGUCUGGGGAAUAGACUACAUGGGUCCAUUUCCUCCAUCAAAGAAGUGUGAGUACAUCUUGGUGGCAGUUGACUAUGUCUCCAAGUGGGUAGAGGCAUUACCUUGCAAGCAUGCCGACAACGUCAGUUCAAAGAGGAUGUUUGAAGAAAUUAUAUUUCCAAGAUUUGGAGUCCCCAGAGUAGUGAUAAGUGAUGGAGGAGCACACUUCAUCGAUAAACGCUUCAAGCAAUAUUUAUCAAAACAUGGAAUCCGUCACAAUGUCGCUACCCCCUAUCAUCCUCAGACAAGUGGCCAAGCAGAGACUUCCAACAAGCAAAUCAAGAAUAUUCUUCAGAAGACAGUAAAUGAAAUGGGAAUGGCGUCGAAAGACAAGUUACCCGAUGCACUCUGGGCAUACCGGACAGCAUACAAGACCCCAAUUGGAAUGUCCCCAUACCAAUUGGUGUACGGGAAGACUUGCCUAUACCUGCUGAACUAGAGUUCAAAGCACACUGGGCCAUAAAGAGAUGGAAUAUGGACCUAGAUGUUGCUGGAGAUUAUAGAAGAAUGCAACUAUCAGAAUUGGAAGAAUGGCGAGAGAAGGCAUAUCAUAACUCAAAGAUCUACAAAGAAAGAGUCAAAAGGUGGCAUGACAAGAGAAUCAAGAAGAAGGAGUUAACACCUGGAGAUAAGGUAUUACUUUUAAAUUCCAGGGUGAAGCUUUUCGGGCAUGGAAAACUCCGGAGCAAAUGGGAAGGACCAUUCAAGGUAAUUAAUUCAUCAUCCCACGGAGCUAUCACACUUCAAAAUGACGAAGGUACGUUAUUCAAGGUAAAUGGUCAACGUCUUAAAUUAUUUUUAGAGCCCAAUAAAGAAUUAGAAGAAAUAGACGCAGUCCAUUUUUACCUUCCCAUGGAGAAUUAGAGCCCGACCUUUUUACUCUGAUGUUUUUGGGUCAUAUAUAUAUUUUUCUAAAUAAUUUCGCAUCUACAAACGCGCUCGAGAAAGUGGGCCCAUAGAGGGGCCAGAGAGAGGGCGGGCGCCCAGAUCAGGUGGGCGGGCGCCCAGAUCAGGUGGGCGGGCGCCCAGCUCCUGUUCCCCCUCGGUCCCAAUUUUCUCUGUUAUGGAAAAUGCACUUAUGGUAAUCCGAAUAAUCCCUCGGAUGGAAAGUUUCGCACGCACAUCGACGGGAGCCACCCGAACAACCCAUAGAGGCACUUUUUGACCCCUAUAUAAACAGACCCCUGACCUCAGUUUUCAAACACCAAGCCACCAAGCCUUCUCUCCUUCAAUUAGAGCUUGAUUAGUUCCUUGCUGCUCCAAUGGCCGAGAAGUACCACGAUGAUUGGGAAGUCGUCCCCUUCAACCUCAACAUGGAGCCUGUGGAAGACCCCGAUGCCCGUGCUCUCGUCCCGGCCAACACAGAGCGAUAGCUAGAAGCCAUGCCAUUACGCCAACGCAGCUCCGCCCAAUCUUACCAUGCUCAACUAGUUCUCACCGCACCGCCACAACCCCUACUCCUCAAAGGAUCAUCAUCCAAGACGAAGACCACCAUCAAGGUGCCAACCGGCACAAGGAUUCUUCCACCUAGACCCAAUGAGAGGGUCGUUGGAGUCAAGACCAAUCGGAGCGGCGAGAUCAGCAGUAUUCGCUACACUACGGAGGAGGAAAGGCCUUACUUUGAAGGGAUUAGAGCAGCCAAAGUCCGUUUCAUCCCUCCAAAGGCAGCCCCGAAGCACGCUCUCAAUGCUUUUGAGACACCUCCCAAGCGUCGCAAGACUAUAAUGGAUAUUGAUGAAGACGUUCACAGGCUAGACAGAGUUAUCAUAGACCUCCAGUCCUCAAUUAAUUCCCUCACUAGGCAGCUCUCUAACCACAACACCGUUAUACUAGGCCUUAGGCAGGAUCUUGCUAGUGCCAACAAGAAGAUUAAGGAAUUAGAGCGCCGCUAAGUUAUCUAGAUUAGACCUUGAGGCAAUGCAUCUCAGUCAUCUAUCUUUAAAUUCGGUUUAGGUUUAUUAAUAUCAUCAGUUUGCUAUCAGUUUGCUACUAGUCUUUUGUAAUAAAUGCCUCAAGAUUAAUAGAGAGUAUUAUUAUUAUUAUUAUGUCUUGUGUGUCUCUACUUUAUUUUUGUAAGAAAGCAGAAAACAAGUAUGGGGGAGAUCCCUCGACAUGCCAAACACACUCCGACCACACCACUCCACGAUUCAGGUACACACUCUGCACACUUUACUUUACACAUACAUAUAGUUUGGAUUAUGCAGAAUAUUGUUUCCGACAUGAUAAAUUAAAAAGAUUAAAAUAUUUCUAAUCAUGAUUAAUCUCAAUCUGUGAUAUUUCCUGAAAACUUGCAACUAUUAUAAAAUCAUUUUAAAAACCCUGUGUUACUUAAGUCAAUAUGGAAUAUGUGAUGGUAGAGUAUGAGUUUCUUAUUCUUGAUAUCAUUGCUACUUGGAGAAUUUAUUUCAAAAUAUUCAAAAUUCUAGCUACCAUCCUCAGUGUUUUAUAUGCCUGAUAAAACUGAAAAUAUUAAUAAAGCUAUCUACUCUGUAUUGAGUUUGUUCAAAAUGAGUUAGACCCUUGUUGAGAGAUUUAUCAUGCUCCUAAGAUCAAGACAUUUAUUUCAAAAGAUUCACUCUUCCGAAGUAUUAUUGCAUUAGAGGCAUGGGCUAUGCAAAAAUAGAGAUAUUUCGAGGAAAUAAAAAAGAGCAAGUGCUCGACAACCUCGCAGAAAAAUGGACAAGUGUCCGGCAGUAGAAUUAGGGAUACCUCAGUAUCCACUUAAAAAAAGAGAGAGAAAAGAAGAAAAUGAUAGCCCAUGGUCCCUCUAAUAAGCAAUAUGCCAGCAAGAGUUGACAAAGAUUUUAAUUUCUAAAGUCUUUGAUCUAAGAGUAUGACAUUCCCCUCCUCGGAUCCCGUUUUGAUCAGGCAAUAAAUGCAAAGUAAGUAGGCUUGAGAAUUUUUGCAAAAUAAAACAGCCUCAGUGAGAUAUAUAAAAGAUAAUGAGUGAUCUGAGAGAACCAAUGAGGAUAAAAAGGUAUGCUAACUUUCUUUCAAAAAUAUACAAAAACUCCAAGUGACAAGAUUGAGAAGAAAGGAUCUUUACUCUUAACCAUAUACUUCCGUGACUAUGGUACACAGUGGAUUUUUAACACCCUGCAAUUAUAAAAAGAAUGUUUUAAAUGCUUACCCCAGAUAUUUUUCUUAACCAUCCUUUUCUUGAGGACGAGUAAAAGCCUAAGUAUGGGGGUAUUUGUUGACGGUUCUUAAGUAUCAAUUUUAAUUAUCAAAUAAACAAGAGAAAGGACCAAUAUGCAAACAACACCUAGAAUUAGGGUUUGAUCUGAUAGAAUUCCAUGAGUUUUGUUGUUUAUCUAUUUCUGCAGGGGGUUAUCAGGAAAUAAGGAAGAAAGGCCCACAUGUCGGGAUUACAUAGAGAUAUCAACGCACCGCGCGAUUUUCUACCAUCUAGAAGACUCCAGAAGCCACGGGAAGAAGGCAGAGGCCGAAAGGGGCCAGGCCCAGGGCGCCCGCCCUGGUGACCUGGGCGCCCGCCCCCUGCUGGAUUCCAUUCAGGACUCUCUUCGCACACGAUGUUCCACCGACCUAAUGGAUCAAGGAUAAUGUAGUACCACCUCGCCUACUGACCCAAAAAUGCAUAGAGGAGGAGGACUAUAUAAGGAGACCCCCUGGCCCCUAGAGGAGACAAAAAAUUAUCAUAGAGAUUGAGGGGUGCCCUCGAAGGAAAACCUCUUCUCUAAUUAAUAUUUUUUUAGGCUUAGCAACCAAUGUAAAGUAGAAAUAGAUCUUCUAGUUUCUACUAGAUUGAGAGAGAUAGAGUGGAGGUGUAGAUUGGAGGAAGCCCGGCCUGUCGGUGUCUACUCCAAGCUUGUACCUGCGGGAUCAAGUUCUCCUAACCCGAAGCUUGCUCCUAGGAUUCUUCAGUAUUUCGACUUCUAAAUUCUAGUAAGUUCUUGUUUUAUUGUUCUUAUGGUUUAUGAGUUUACUUUAAUCUCUUUGCAUAGAGUUUAGAGUAAUCAUUGCUGGCGUAAACGUGGUGUUUAGGCUGGGGUACUCAUAGAUAUUUCCUGACUAGCUAGACCGUGGUAGUAGUGAGGAACGUGACAAUUCCGAGUUACCUUUGCAAACCAUAUCUCGUUAGCAGGAAGGAUAGGGUUUAUAGGUGCCGGUUGAACAUCCUUUGUGGUGUCUAGAUUCCGUUAGCCUCCCCGAUAGAACAGUAGAUCAUCCUUACCAAGGUUAGAAGGAGACUACGGUUGCAGUCUUCUCUAUUUAUCACUCACAUCGAGAGACAUUCUUUGUUGCCUAAGGGUUAGUAGUAAUAGACCGGUUAGUCAGAUGCACUCUUUCUCCUAGUGGUAAAAAAAUAAAUACGAUACUCUGGAUAAUUUCCCGGGUGAAGUGCUCACCGAUAUCCGUGCGCUUGCGGAUCAAUUACUUAUUGCGUUCCCAAAUAUCAACAGCCACCUACUAGCUACAUCAGAAGAAAUUACGUUAAAAUCCAGCUUGGGGGAGAGCACCCCCAUUUAUCCAGCUAAGUGUUUCUACUCACAUUUAUACUUUACUCAAAUAAUAAAAAAAUGCAUAAUCAUAAAAACUCAAUUAAACAUUUUGUGCUUCUAUAUAUCUUUGCUUAGUUUGCUAAAUAAAUAAAUAAAGUGUCUAUGCCAAACUGAACUUCAAUGAUAAACUCUUACAUGGAUAUGAUGAAUAGUUGUUCUGCCAAGUACCUAGUUUUCAAAUUUGAGCUCUCUCUCAAGUUUAGGCAUAACUGUUAUAAUUUAAAGCUUGCUCUAAACCUAAAUUUGCGGGAAGAGUACCUGAUCAAAAGUCUAAGUCAUUAACAGAUAUGAUAUGGGAAGGUUGAGCUGCUAUUUAUCAAUUCCUAGAGAUGCUAGAAUUCUGGAGAAUUUUAUCUUUGAAAAUCUUUAAAAUUUUGCAUGAUGAGUUCCUGUAUGAUGAGAGUUUGAAAUCCUACCACAGCCAUAUAUACAAGCUUAUUAGACUAUGAACCAUACAUUUACUUUUCACUGCUUAUGAGCAUUGAGUGUGGUCGAGCUGUGUAGACCCUUAGGAGCUUGUCAUGCGGUUAAAAUCAAGAUUCACUUGCACGUUCACUCAUACAUGCUGCUUCUACUCCAGAAGUACGCAUCCACAUACAUCCACUCAUUUCCAUAUCCCGAUUCACCCAAAAUUAUUCUACUCCUAUCUAGGAGAGAAUAGCUAAAAACAUUAUUUUGGUUACUACCACUUGCUACAUUAUUCUAGGAGGGUGAGUGCUCUAAAAAAAGUAAAUACGAGGAAAUAAAAAGGGGCAAGUGCCCGAAACCUCGAAAAAGAAAAAAAAAGAAAAAAAAAAGUGAGACGAGAGGUAAAAAUGGACAAGUGUCCGACAGUAUAAUUAGGGGUACAAGAUACCCACCUGAGAGAAAAGAAAAAUAAAAUAUAGAGCAUCUCAUUCCCCUCAAAAGCCUCAAGUGCAAGAAAGGUAUGUACCCCCUCAAAAGAGCAAAAGUAGAAUUAGAGUUUCACCAUUAUUUUCACCAUUAUCACCAUUCAUUCGCCACACAUGCACAGCUUGAUUUGACUUAUUGACUUGUUCUUCUAGAUCCAUGGUUUGACUAUGCAAUAAGUGUCUUGUAAGUAUGUAUUAGCUGUCUCCCACCUAUGAGCUCCAGAUAUCAAAACCUUAUUAGAGUAGGAUGAGAGAGAAGGCAAUACCACUAUGCCUCAUACCAAAAAUACCACAUACUUUGAGAGAAGGCAUACACCAUUACUGCCUUGGUAAGGAUCCAGAAAUAUCACAAAAGAGAGACUAGAGAGAGUCAUACAAGGAAUCUCUGAGUUUUAUUUGAAAAUCUGCAAUAACUCUAGAGCUAUAGUUAAUCGAAGAACAAGAGACAUGGCGCCUGACUAGACCGUUCUAUCUUUUAACUGCUCAAGACAUAAGUUACGGUUGCAAGCCCCAUGGUGGAAGGUAAAAUGAGUUAGUUUAAAUCUUAACAGUUUAUCCUAACCCAGAGAUGAGAUCUUGUUUGAAUGCAUGUGUACCUUUAAGGUAUGAAACCACUGCAGAAACUCUUGAGUCCAUCUUUGCUCAAGGACGAGCAAAGGUUAAGCUUGGGGGAGCUUGUUGACGGUCCUUAAUGGUCACAUUUAACCACCAACUAAUCACGAAAAAGGAUCCAAAUGCAACUGACACCUAGACUUAGGGUUUCAUCUGAUAGAUUUCCACGAGUUUUGGUGUUUGUCUAUUUCUGCAGGGGGUUAUUAGGAAAUACGAAGAAAAGGCCCACACGUCGGGUUUACAUAGAGAAUUAAUGUGUGCGGUAAUUUUCCAUUAUCAGGAAGACUCUAGAAGCAACUCGACCGAAGCGGAGCCGAGAUGGGCCUAGGGCCAGGGCGCCCGCCCUGGUACAAGCACCAAUCACACAAUGGAGUACACCAUUACAAAGAUCUCGUCGAGCUGAUCAAAAUGCAUAUAUUAUUUGCUAUAUUUGGAGUUCGGAAUCAAGAGAUUAAUAAAAGAAGGACUCCACAUAAAAGAGCUGCGGGAUUAAUUGGGCCCAAAUGAGAUUUUGGUCCAUUAAGGCCUAUGUGCAUUUUAAUGAGAUAUGGUGGAAAGUUUAGUACCACAUCGCCUGCUGAACCAAAAACGCACAAAGGAGGAGGACUAUAUAAGCAAGGCCCCUGGCCCCUGGAGGAGAACACAUCAUUAUAGAGUUGAGAGGUGCCCUCGAAGGAUAACCUUUCCUCUAUAGAGAAUUAGGGCUAGACAUUCCAAUGUAGUAGAUUAGUUCUAGUCGGGAGUUAGGGAGAGCGGAGCUGCACUCCGGUUCUGGAGAAGUCUUCAGAGUUUUGGUAUGUCUUUAAAUUUAUUGUAAGACUUAUGAUUUAAUAUAUUUAUCUUCUCUAUUUACUUUUAUGCCUUUAUUAUUAUCGAGUAGUGUAGUUGUUAUAUUUUGGCAUAGGAUCUCUGUUCGCAUCGAGUGCUCUAGUUAUUCAUGGUAAUUAUAGUGGUAAUCGUUAGUGUAGAUGUGGUGUCUAUACUAGAGGUUACCUGAGGUUGCACCCAGUCCUACGGAUUGUUGUGGUAGCCCUGGGGUCGUGACAGCCCUAACGGUCGACGUAUUCCACC